rnacentral:rRNA from 1 species
GAUGAACGCUGACAGAAUGCUUAACACAUGCAAGUCGAUUCAAGUUACCUUCGGGUAAUGAGGAUGGCGGACGGGUGAGUAACGCGUAAGGAACUUGCCUCUUGGUCUGGGACAACUGUUGGAAACGACAGCUAAUACCGGAUAUUAUGAGAUUCUCGCAUGGGAAACUUAUGAAAGCUAUAUGCGCCAAGAGAGAGCCUUGCGUUCCAUUAGCUAGUUGGUGGGGUAACGGCCCACCAAGGCGACGAUGGAUAGCCGGCCUGAGAGGGUGAACGGCCACAAGGGGACUGAGACACGGCCCUUACUCCUACGGGAGGCAGCAGUGGGGAAUAUUGGNNNNUGGGNNNNNAGCCUGAUCCAGCAAUUCUGUGUGCACGAUGAAGGUCUUCGGAUUGUAAAGUGCUUUCAGUUGGGAAGAAGAAAGUGACGGUACCAACAGAAGAAGCGACGGCUAAAUACGUGCCAGCAGCCGCGGUAAUACGUAUGUCGCAAGCGUUAUCCGGAUUUAUUGGGCGUAAAGCGCGUCUAGGCGGAAAAAUAAGUCUGAUGUUAAAAUGCGGGGCUCAACUCCGUAUUGCGUUGGAAACUGUUUUUCUAGAGUACUGGAGAGGUGGGCGGAACUACAAGUGUAGAGGUGAAAUUCGUAGAUAUUUGUAGGAAUGCCGAUGGANAAGUCAGCUCACUGGACAGAUACUGACGCUGAA